AGAUUUCUGAGGUGUACGCGGUGUCGACUAACUGUGUUGACCGAACAUUUUUAUUUUUGAAUCGGGAUUCUAAAAGGAAAAUUUAUGACAUGCCUUAUCACUUGGACGUCAGAUGUUUUUCUGGUGAAGCCCACCUGCUAUUGUGCGGGUUCAACCAAAUACGACAAUCAACCGGCACCAUCGGAUUUCUU
rnacentral:other from 2 species